GGAAAGGUGAAAAGAACCCCGAACAGGGGAGUGAAAUAGAACCUGAAACCAUACGCUUACAACCGGUCGGAGCAGCUUCGUGCUGUGACGGCGUGCCUAUUGAAUAAUGAGCCUACGAGUUACUAAUCACUAGCGAGGUUAAGUGCAAGGAUGCACGGAGCCGAAGCGAAAGCGAGUCUGAACAGGGCGUUUAGUUAGUGGUUGUAGACGCGAAACCUUGCGAUCUACCCUUGAGCAGGUUGAAGGUUGGGUAAAACCAACUGGAGGACCGAACGAAUAAGCGUUGAAAAGCUUCUCGAUGACUUGAGGGUAGGGGUGAAAGGCUAAUCAAGCUGGGAAAUAGCUCGUACUCCCCGAAAUGCCUUUUGGGGCAGCGUUGUAAUAAAGAGUCUACUGGAGGUAGAGCUACUGAUUGGAUGCGGGGGCUUCACCGCCUACCAAAUCCUGACAAACUCCGAAUGCCAGUAGUAUGAUUUACAGCAGUGAGUGACUGGGUGCUAAUGUCCAGUCGCAAAAGAGGAACAACUCAGACCAGCAACUAAGGUCCCGAAGAAUAUGCUAAGUUGAUCUAACGAUGUUUUGUUGCAGAGACAGCUAGGAUGUUAGCUUGGAAGCAGCUAUUCAUUCAAAGAGUGCGUAACAGCUCACUAGUCGAGCGACAGAGCGUGGAUAAUAAACGGGCAUCAAGCAUAUCACCGAAGUUCUGGGCGCGAGAGCGCGGUAGGGGAGCAUUCCAUUCAGCGUCGAAGCAGUUUCGUGAGGAAUUGUGGAGCGUAUGGAAAAGCAAAUGUAGGCAUGAGUAACGAUAAUGCGGGAGAGUAACCCGCACACCGCAAGACCAAGGUUUCCUGAUCAACGCUAAUCGGAUCAGGGUUAGUCGGGUCCUAAGGGUAAGCCGAACGGUGAUCUCGAUGGACAAUCGGUUAAUAUUCCGAUACUAACAUAUACCUCGAUGGAGAGACGAAGGAACGUAAGUGCCGCCACCUGACGGAAUAGGUGGUUAAAGGGCGUAGAUAUAGGGGCAGAUUAAGAGUUAGUCCUUGCUGAAACCUGACAGUACAGAGAGCCUACGGGCAAUUUGAUAGUGCACCCAAGUCGACUUCCGAGAAAAUCUUCUAAGUUAUAGUAUAUGUCACCCGUACCGUAAACCGACACAGGUGGUCGAGGAGAGUAUCCUAAGGUGCUCGAGUGAAUCACGGUUAAGGAACUAGGCAAAUUAACCCCGUAACUUCGGGAAAAGGGGUCCCUAUGAAAGUAGGGCGCAGCGAAGAGGUCCAGGCGACUGUUUAUCAAAAACACAGGGCUCUGCAAAUUCGAAAGAAGACGUAUAGGGCCUGACACCUGCCCGGUGCUGGAAGGUUAAGAGGGGAUGUCAUCGCAAGAGAAGCAUUGAAUCGAAGCCCCAGUAAACGGCGGCCGUAACUAUAACGGUCCUAAGGUAGCGAAAUUCCUUGUCGGGU
rnacentral:rRNA from 1 species